UACAGAGGGGGCAAGCGUUGUUCGGAAUUACUGGGCGUAAAGGGCGCGUAGGCGGCCUUCUCAGUCGAACGUGAAAUCCCUGGGCUCAACCCAGGAACUGCGUCCGAUACUGGAAGGCUUGAAUCCGGGAGAGGGAUGCGGAAUUCCAGGUGUAGCGGUGAAAUGCGUAGAUAUCUGGAGGAACACCGGUGGCGAAGGCGGCAUCCUGGACCGGUAUUGACGCUGAGGCGCGAAAGCCAGGGGAGCAAACGGG
rnacentral:rRNA from 1 species